GACGAACGCUGGCGGCGUGCUUAACACAUGCAAGUCGAGCGGAAAGGCCCUUCGGGGUACUCGAGCGGCGAACGGGUGAGUAACACGUGAGCAACCUGCCCCUGGCUCUGGGAUAGCUCCGGGAAACCGGGAUUAAUACCGGACAUGACCCCCUGCGGCAUCGCGGGGGGUGGAAAGUUUUUCGGCCAGGGAUGGGCUCGCGGCCUAUCAGCUUGUUGGUGGGGUAGUGGCCUACCAAGGCGACGACGGGUAGCCGGCCUGAGAGGGCGACCGGCCACACUGGGACUGAGACACGGCCCAGACUCCUACGGGAGGCAGCAGUGGGGAAUAUUGCGCAAUGGGCGGAAGCCUGACGCAGCGACGCCGCGUGCGGGAUGAAGGCCUUCGGGUUGUAAACCGCUUUCAGCAGGGACGAAUCAAGACGGUACCUGCAGAAGAAGCGCCGGCUAACUACGUGCCAGCAGCCGCCGUAACAC
rnacentral:rRNA from 1 species